GGAGAGGUGGCUGAGCGGUCGAAAGCGGCGGUCUUGAAAACCGCUGUGGGGCAACCCACCGGGGGUUCGAAUCCCUCCCUCUCCGCCA
rnacentral:tRNA from 1 species